rnacentral:rRNA from 1 species
AUUGAACGCUGGCGGCAGGCCUAACACAUGCAAGUCGAACGAGUGGCGGACGGGUGAGUAAUGUCUGGGAAACUGCCUGAUGGAGGGGGAUAACUACUGGAAACGGUAGCUAAUACCGCAUACCAUCAGAGUGGCCCAGAGGGGAUUCGCUAGUUGGGGGGGUAACGGCUUACCAAGGCGACGAGCCCAAGCUGGUCUGAGAGGAUGACCAGCCACACGGGAAUGGAGCCACGGUCCCGACUCUUACGGGAGGCAGCAGUGGGGAAUAUUGCACAAGGGGCGCAAGCCUGAUGCAGCCAUGCCGCGUGUAUGAAGAAGGCCUUCGGGUUGUAAAGUACUUUCAGCGGGGAGGCGUUACCCGCAGAAGAAGCACCGGCUAACUCCGUGCCAGCAGCCGCGGUAAUUC